rnacentral:rRNA from 1 species
AGCGUAGGCGGCUUUUCAAGUCGGAUGUGAAAUUUCCCAGCUUAACUGGGAGGGGUCAUUCGAUACUGUUAGGCUUGAGUGCAGCAGGGGGAAACGGAAUUCCCGGUGUAGUGGUGGAAUGCGUAGAUAUCGGGAGGAACACCAGAGGCGAAAGCGGUUUCCAAGGCUGUUACUGACGCUGAGGCUCGAAAGCGUGGGGAGCAAACAGGAUUAGAUACCCUGGUAGUC